rnacentral:rRNA from 1 species
UAGGGAAUCUUCGGCAAUGGACGAAAGUCUGACCGAGCAACGCCGCGUGAGUGAAGAAGGUUUUCGGAUCGUAAAACUCUGUUGUUAGAGAAGAACAAGGACGUUAGUAACUGAACGUCCCCUGACGGUAUCUAACCAGAAAGCCACGGCUAACUACGUGCCAGCAGCCGCGGUAAUACGUAGGUGGCAAGCGUUGUCCGGAUUUAUUGGGCGUAAAGCGAGCGCAGGCGGUUUCUUAAGUCUGAUGUGAAAGCCCCCGGCUCAACCGGGGAGGGGCAAUUGAAACUGGGGGACUUGAGUGCAGAAGAGGAGAGUGGAAUUCCAUGUGUAGCGGUGAAAUGCGUAGAUAUAUGGGGGAACACCAGUGGCGAAGGCGGCUCUCUGGUCUGUAACUGACGCUGAGGCUCGAAAGCGUGGGGAGCAAACAGG